rnacentral:rRNA from 1 species
AACCUUUACACUGCACGACAGUGCGAUAGGGGGACACCGAGUGCGAGGGCAUAGAGCCCUCGCUUUUGUAGACCGUAAGGAGGUCUACGAAUAAGGGCUGGGCAAGACCGGUGCCAGCCGCCGCGGUAACACCGGCAGCCCGAGUGAUGGCCGAUAUUAUUGGGCCUAAAGCGUCCGUAGCUGGCCGCACAAGUCCGUCGGGAAAUCCACUCGCUUAACGAGUGGGCGUCCGGCGGAAACUGUGCGGCUUGGGACCGGAAGAUCCGAGGGGUACGUCCGGGGUAGGAGUGAAAUCCCGUAAUCCUGGACGGACCACCGAUGGCGAAAGCACCUCGGAAGGACGGAUCCGACAGUGAGGGACGAAAGCUAGGGUCUCGAACCGGAUUAGAUACCCGGGUAGUCCUAGCCGUAAACGAUGCUCGCUAGGUGUGGCGCAGGCUACGAGCCUGCGCUGUGCCGUAGGGAAGCCGUGAAGCGAGCCGCCUGGGAAGUACGUCUGCAAGGAUGAAACUUAA